AUGUCUCUUGAUGAUAACCGUAAUGAUCCAGAUGAGGAAGUCAGUGGUUUGAAAGAAGAAGACUCACAAUCCAAGAAGAAAAGGAUACACAUAAACAAUGGAGACAAAUAUGAUAUAGCUAACAGCACAGAGUUGGAUGAGCUUGUUGAUAAUACUGUAGGAGAUAGUUUGGAGAGAUGUGACAUGGUGGAGAGUGGCAGGCCUCACUACAGUGAGUCAGCUGGUGAGAGGAAGGAAGUGUACAUGACCUCCGCUGGGAGGAUCAGUAUUGGUGUAGACCAGGAUGUACCAGUGACUGUGCCAGCAGCUACACACAACACCACUCAGGUAGGCCAUGUUCAUGUUGUUGCUGCACCCCUAGAUGAAGAAGUUUUCCUGCUCCCCCAGCAUGCAUGUGAUCCCACCAUCCCGUCUUCUGCACCCACCCAUCUACAUGAUGUGAACCCUGUUGACGACCAGGCAUGUGGCCCCACUCCUGCAUCCACUCCUGUCUGCACCACCAGCACCAAAGUGUCCACACCCUCGCUGUCAAGUCAGGAGAAGAUGAAAGGGGUGGAGCUGAAGGAUGAGUGGCAAGAUGAUGGAUUCCCUGGCAUGUUGGCAGAGGGAAGUGCCACACAAGAUAAAGCUCGGCCACAAACACUUGGAGCCUCUGCAGAUGGGCCUACCAAAAAGAAAAUAGUGCCAGACAUCAACUUGCUCAGUGAUGAAGAUGCCAGUGAAGGGGAUGUAUUGGAAGAUAUAGAUGACCUUGAAACCCCCCAUGACCUUGACACACCAUCUGACCUUGAAGAAGGUGACCUGGGUGAACUUGAAUGGGAAAGGAGAAUAAAGAAAUUGAAAGAUGACACACCAGUUCUCUCCCCGGAUGACAUUGACCCCAUCCCAGAAUAUACAGAACAAGAGGAGAAGCAUGAUGCCCGGCACUGGAAGACAGUGACCGUGGGGGACAAACAGUACAAGAUUGACCUGAAGGUCAUUGAGCCCUACAAGAAGGUCCUGUCACAUGGAGGUUACUACGGUGAUGGUCUGAAUGCAAUAAUCCUGUUUUCUGGAUGUUACCUCCCUGAUCGCCGCCGCAAGGAUUACAACUAUGUCAUGGAUAACCUCUUCUAUUAUGUGGUGCACACUCUCGAGCAGCUUGUUGCGGAGGACUAUAUGAUAGUGUACUUCCACGGAGCCACGCCACGCAGGCAGAUGCCCAGCCUCUCAUGGCUCAAGAAAUGUUACCAGAUGAUAGACAGGAGGUUAAGGAAGAACCUCAAGGCCUUGCUUCUAGUUCAUCCAACACUGUGGUUGAAAACAGUUGUCAUGAUGACCAGACCUUUUAUCAGCUCCAAGUUUGCAUCCAAGCUCCGCUUUGUGAGGACUUUGCAAGAGCUGUCCCAAAUUCUCCCUAUGGAUCAUAUCUAUGUGCCGGACCAGGUUCAGAGGUCCAGAGGGUCUUCAGUCGUCUAGCUCCCUAUAGAUCAUGCCUAUGUGCCAGAACAGGUCCAGAGUGUCUUCAGUCAACUGUCUCCCUAUAGAUCAUGUCUACAUGCCGGACCAGGUUCAGAGCCACGAUGACAGCUUCCACAGCCGACCCACCUUGUCCACUCCCUCCACCCCCACCUCAGACCCCACCUCCCCACAAUGAGCUUGCCGCACCAACAGAAUAGAGGACCUGGUGAGGCAAAACCCCAAUUAUCUGGAGCAACCUGAAGCACCACACACCACACAGCAGAGGAAGACCUAGCCUCCAGACAUUGAAGCACCACACA
rnacentral:misc_RNA from 1 species